UACGUAGGGUGCAAGCGUUGUCCGGAAUUAUUGGGCGUAAAGAGCUCGUAGGCGGUUUGUCGCGUCUGCUGUGAAAACGCGAGGCUCAACCUCGCGCCUGCAGUGGGUACGGGCAGACUAGAGUGCGGGUAGGGGAGAUUGGAAUUCCCGGUGGUAGCGGAUGAAAUGCGCAGAUAUCGGGAGGAACACCGGUGGCGAAGGCGGUUCUCUGGGCCUUACCUGACGCUGGAGGAGCGAAAGCGUGGGGAGCGAACAGGA
rnacentral:rRNA from 1 species